rnacentral:rRNA from 1 species
AUGAACGCUAGCUACAGGCUUAACACAUGCAAGUCGAGGGGCAGCAUCAUCAAAGCUUGCUUUGAUGGAUGGCGACCGGCGCACGGGUGAGUAACACGUAUCCAACCUGCCGACAACACUGGGAUAGCCUUUCGAAAGAAAGAUUAAUACCGGAUGGCAUAGUUUUCCCGCAUGGGAUAAUUAUUAAAGAAUUUCGGUUGUCGAUGGGGAUGCGUUCCAUUAGGCAGUUGGCGGGGUAACGGCCCACCAAACCAACGAUGGAUAGGGGUUCUGAGAGGAAGGUCCCCCACAUUGGAACUGAGACACGGUCCAAACUCCUACGGGAGGCAGCAGUGAGGAAUAUUGGUCAAUGGACGAGAGUCUGAACCAGCCAAGUAGCGUGAAGGAUGACUGCCCUAUGGGUUGUAAACUUCUUUUAUACGGGAAUAAAGUUAGCCACGUGUGGCUUUUUGUAUGUACCGUAUGAAUAAGUAUCGGCUAACUCCGUGCCAGCAGCCGCGGUAAUACGGAGGAUCCGAGCGUUAUCCGGAUUUAUUGGGUUUAAAGGGAGCGUAGGCGGGUUGUUAAGUCAGUUGUGAAAGUUUGCGGCUCAACCGUAAAAUUGCAGUUGAUACUGGCGACCUUGAGUGCAACAGAGGUAGGCGGAAUUCGUGGUGUAGCGGUGAAAUGCUUAGAUAUCACGAAGAACUCCGAUUGCGAAGGCAGCUUACUGGAUUGUAACUGACGCUGAUGCUCGAAAGUGUGGGUAUCAAACAGGAUUAGAUACCCUGGUAGUCCACACAGUAAACGAUGAAUACUCGCUGUUGGCGAUAUACGGUCAGCGGCCAAGCGAAAGCAUUAAGUAUUCCACCUGGGGAGUACGCCGGCAACGGUGAAACUCAAAGGAAUUGACGGGGGCCCGCACAAGCGGAGGAACAUGUGGUUUAAUUCGAUGAUACGCGAGGAACCUUACCCGGGCUUAAAUUGCAACUGACUGAACCGGAAACGGUUCUUUCUUCGGACAGUUGUGAAGGUGCUGCAUGGUUGUCGUCAGCUCGUGCCGUGAGGUGUCGGCUUAAGUGCCAUAACGAGCGCAACCCUUAUCGAUAGUUACUAGCAGGUCAUGCUGAGGACUCUAUUGAGACUGCCGUCGUAAGAUGUGAGGAAGGUGGGGAUGACGUCAAAUCAGCACGGCCCUUACGUCCGGGGCUACACACGUGUUACAAUGGGGGGUACAGAAGGCAGCUACACGGCGACGUGGUGCUAAUCCCGAAAGCCUCUCUCAGUUCGGAUUGGAGUCUGCAACCCGACUCCAUGAAGCUGGAUUCGCUAGUAAUCGCGCAUCAGCCACGGCGCGGUGAAUACGUUCCCGGGCCUUGUACACACCGCCCGUCAAGCCAUGAAAGCCGGGGGUACCUGAAGUACGUAACCGCGAGGAGCGUCCUAGGGUAAAACUGGUGAUUGGGGCU